GAUAAGAGAAGGAAAAAAAGGAGAAGAAAGAGAAAAUGAGGGAGAGGGAGGAAGAAGAGGAGCAAAUAGAAAAGAGUGGUUUGAUUCUAUUCGAACUUCAGAAGAAUGUUUUCUUUCUUUGCUUGAAAAAGAAAGCUUUUCUUCUUCUUGCUGGAAAAUGAAUGCUUUUCGAAGGGGAGAUGGAGAGACGACCCUCCAUGCCUGUGUUUGGAAAGAAUACAAAA
rnacentral:ribozyme from 1 species